rnacentral:misc_RNA from 1 species
AUUUUCAGUUUUUCUAAUUUUUCCAGACUGAUUGCAAUUUUGAGAUACAUUUCAAAACCAGCUGAGUGUAGAUGCAAGUAUCUUAAGUAUUUUGGAAUCUCCUUGAAAAUAUUCGGGCCCAAUUGUAUGGCAUUGAAAAGCAUUCUGGCGCGGGGGCAACGUAUAUUAAUCCGGGAUUACUUUCGAACGUCGACACCUUUGCCCCGUCGCGUGCGCCUAAUCGCUUUAGAAUUAACUGCACCCCUGCGUGCUUUUGUGGGGACCUUCGAUAUCUUGGGGACGAGGAUUCACUGAACGGGACUCGCUCCCGGUUUCCUUUUAAUUUGCCGACCAAACGCAUGACUUGACACGCAACAGUGUCUCCAAACCUUAUUUGAAAUUCUAAAGUACAAAUUGAGAUGCGAUCUCACGACCAGUUCCAGUUUGUUACCAACCUAGAUCUAGG